UGGUGUAUAGCUCAGUACAGCAUUCGGCUGCACAUCGAGAGGUCUCUGGUUCAAACCCGGGUGUACCCU